UUUAUUAAAAAUCAAGAAGAAUGUUUCGAAUUGGUGGUCCAGGAAUGGGUGAUCCCACAGAGGAGCGCCGAAAAGUACGAGAAAAUGUUAAAAACAAUUUAAUUGCAUUUAUCGCCAUGUGCACAAUUUUAAGACUGACUCCCUUAGUGCUUCAGAAAUGCUGUUGACCGCUCUUCCAAACUAAAUAAAUUCCUAGAUAACUUAUAGAUAUAUUUAAAUUCAUGGAAACUCACUACUUUUGUACAUAUAACAUUGUAACACAAGUGAAAAAUCUAUUAACUAAUAAAAUCUUUUUUAAAUUUUAA